rnacentral:rRNA from 1 species
UACGAAGGGGGCUAGCGUUGUUCGGAAUCACUGGGCGUAAAGCGCACGUAGGCGGAUUUUUAAGUCAGGGGUGAAAUCCCGGGGCUCAACCUCGGAACUGCCUUUGAUACUGGAGAUCUUGAGUCCGGAAGAGGUAAGUGGAACUGCGAGUGUAGAGGUGAAAUUCGUAGAUAUUCGCAAGAACACCAGUGGCGAAGGCGGCUUACUGGUCCGGAACUGACGCUGAGGAGCGAAAGCGUGGGUAGCAAACAGG